GAUGAACGCUGGCGGCGUGCCUAACACAUGCAAGUCGAACGAAGCACCUUAUUCUGAUUUCUUCGGAAUGAAAAAUUUGGUGACUGAGUGGCGGACGGGUGAGUAACGCGUGGGUAACCUGCCUCAUACAGGGGGAUAAUAGUUAGAAAUGACUGCUAAUACCGCAUAAGACCACAGCACCGCAUGGUGCAGGGGUAAAAACUCCGAUGGUAUGAGAUGGACCCGCGUCUGAUUAGGUAGUUGGUGGGGUAACGGCCUACCAAGCCGACGAUCAGUAGACGACCUGAGAGGUAGACCGGCCACAUUGGGACUGAGACACGGCCCAAACUCCUACGGGAGGCAGCAGUGGGGAAUAUUGCACAAUGGGGGAAACCCUGAUGCAGCGACGCCGCGUGAGCGAUGAAGUAUUUCGGUAUGUAAAGCUCUAUCAGCAGGGAAGAAAAUGACGGUACCUGACUAAGAAGCACCGGCUAAAUACGUGCCAGCCGCCGCGGUAA
rnacentral:rRNA from 1 species